rnacentral:rRNA from 1 species
UACGAGAGGUGCAAGCGUUAUUCGGAAUCAUUGGGCGUAAAGGGUGCGUAGGCGGCCAGGUAAGUCUGCUGUGAAAUCCCGCAGCUCAACUGCGGAACUGCAUUGGAUACUAUCUGGCUAGAGGAAUGGAGGGGAGACUGGAAUUCUCGGUGUAGCAGUGAAAUGCGUAGAUAUCGAGAGGAACACCAGUGGCGAAGGCGAGUCUCUGGACAUUUCCUGACGCUGAGGCACGAAAGCCAGGGGAGCAAACGGG